UGCAGGAUGAAGGUCCUAUGGAUUGUAAACUGCUUUUGUACGGGAAGAAACCCCUCCUCGUGAGGAGGGCUGACGGUACCGUAAGAAUAAGGAUCGGCUAACUCCGUGCCAGCAGCCGCGGUAAUACGGAGGAUCCGAGCGUUAUCCGGAAUCAUUGGGUUUAAAGGGUCCGUAGGCGGCCUUGUAAGUCAGUGGUGAAAUCUCACGGCUCAACCGUGAAAUGGCCAUUGAUACUGCGGGGCUUGAAUUAUCGGGAAGCAGCUAGAAUAUGUAGUGUAGCGGUGAAAUGCUUAGAUAUUACAUGGAAUACCGAUUGCGAAGGCAGGCUGCUACCGGUGGAUUGACGCUGAUGGACGAAAGCGUGGGGAGCGAACAGGAUUAGAUACCCUGGUAGUCCACGCCGUAAACGA
rnacentral:rRNA from 1 species